rnacentral:rRNA from 1 species
GACAGAGGGUGCAAACGUUGUUCGGAAUUACUGGGCGUAAAGCGCGUGUAGGCGGCAGGGCAUGUCGGAUGUGAAAUCCCGUGGCUCAACCACGGAAGUGCACCCGAAACUGCCCAGCUAGAGUCUCGGAGAGGAAGAUGGAAUGCUUGGUGUAGAGGUGAAAUUCGUAGAUAUCAAGCGGAACACCGGUGGCGAAGGCGGUCUUCUGGACGAUGACUGACGCUGAGACGCGAAAGCGUGGGGAGCAAAC